UCAAUUUCUACAAGAUAAAGCCUCUCUCUGCUCUUGCUUUGAAGUGCUUGUAAAACCACCUGUUUUACUGUACACAUGUGAGCAGACACAGAGAAUGGCCAAAUGCAGGGAAAGGAUUGGAAGAAUUCCUGUCAGCACUGUGUGGUUUUAGAUCAGGGUCAAAAUUCCCAGACUACUGAUGGAUCCCACCAGCCUCUGAAGGAAGUGGAGCAUCUGCUUGGAAGAGAAAGGUCCUGGCCUGAGCAGCUGUAAUCCUGAGCCUAACUGGGACCCUGAAGCUGGGAAAAGCAUUGUGCAAGUCCCCAGAAGGUUCUGUUGAGCAGGCAGCCUUUUGGACUGUGACUGUGGGAUCAUUAUCAAACCCCUCUCCAGUAUGGUUUAUGUGCUUCAUUUUUAAAGCACCACUCUCACAGCUGUGGAGCUUAACAGUUCUGAUAUGUCAUUUAUUUCUGUGCUUAGCUGGGAGGAUUUAUCUCCUGCACAGUUUGAUAGCAGUGCCUUGGCAUUCUGGGUGGGCUGGAGAGCCUGCUUUGUGCUCUGGAAAACCUGGAGGGACUCACUCUGGGCACAAUUCCAUUUGUUCUGUCCAGGUUGUUGUGAGUCCACUGCUCUCCACACCCACCGCAUUUGGUUUAAAACAUCUCAGGUCUCACUUCAGGUACAUUCAGUGGACAGAUAAGAGUGUUACUCCAGGGAUUUUAUGUCUGUUUGUCCAAAGAAUUUAAGUUUUCCCAUGAAGCACACCAGGGAUAAUCAAAUAUGGGACGUGUUCUGUAUAUGGGGCAUUGAAUCAAACAGGAUUUUUCAGCCUGGAAAAGGGAUGACUUUAGGGGGUAUAGCAGAGCUGCUCAGUUGUGAGUGGCAUGCAGAAAGUGAAUUUGGGAUGUUUAUUUUCUGUUCUUUUCAGUACAGAGCUUAACAGAACCUUUUGGGGUUGGGAGGGAAUGGGGAGGGAGGGGAAGCCACAAAAAAAAGCCAUUAAAAACCCCUCCCAACAACAAAAAAACCCUCAAACUCAACAAAUAAAUUCAACAAACAAAAAAAUAAGCCCCUAUCUUCAAAGUCACAUAAUUAAGGCUCUGCUUAACUCUUCCCAGAAUAAAUAUUUUUUUGUUUGAGUUGCUAAACUCUUCUUAAAUUCUUAAGACCUUUUAUUUCUUUAUUUUAUUUUCUUGGUAUAUUAGUUUAUUAUUUCCCAUGUUCUGUUUCUGGCAUCAUUUUAAUUUCACUUCUCUGUUUGUCUCUACAAUACCCCAAACAAGUACUCUUAAUCUUAACCUUUUCUUUGCCUAAUGACACUUUUCAGAUUUAAACUGCUUGUGCUGAUUUCCCAUAUUGUUUGUUCUGGACUUUGGGGGCAAUGCCUUCCCCCAUCCCCAUCCUGCCCUCAGAAACCCCAACAGGCCCUUCUGCUUUCAUUUCUAAUCCACCCACUGGGAUUUAUUCCACAAGAGGCUCUAAACCAAAAUGCUCACUCAAUAAACAAAAUACCAUGGUGGCAACUUGAUAGACCAACUAAAGAAGCUUAAUUUUUAAAAAUGUGCUUUUGUUUCCUGUAGACAUUUUGUGCAGCAGUCAUUAAGUGGAGUGCACAUGGCUGCAGUCAGAUGAUGAGGAAUGAGAAGGCACACCAACAUCUGGGCAUGGCUUUGGCAACCUGUAGGUUUAUUAGCUGGUUAGAAAUAAAAGAUGAAGACACA